rnacentral:rRNA from 1 species
UACGGAGGAUCCAAGCGUUGUCCGGAAUCAUUGGGUUUAAAGGGUCCGUAGGCGGUCUUAUAAGUCAGUGGUGAAAUCUCCCCGCUCAACGGGGAAACGGCCAUUGAUACUGUAGGACUUGAAUUAUUAGGAAGUAACUAGAAUAUGUAGUGUAGCGGUGAAAUGCUUAGAGAUUACAUGGAAUACCAAUUGCGAAGGCAGGUUACUACUAAUGGAUUGACGCUGAUGGACGAAAGCGUGGGUAGCGAACAGG